UUUAUACCAUAUCAUUAAAAGUAUUGAUUUUGAUUUAUGUGCUUACUCUAAUGUAUAUACUUUUAUGCAUACAAAUUAUUUUUAAAUAGGUGGUUUUUAAAUUCUUAUUUGGUCCUCACAAUCCCAAAAAUACACUUAUUCAAAUCGAAGUGAUUUUUUUAUAUUGAAAGCACUAUAUAUUAUUUUAUUCAGAUUAGAUAAUUUAGUCUUGAUUUAAUUCCUAACAUGCUUUUAAUGAAAUAUCAUGACAAGAUUUCAAUCACAUUCUUUUGAGUUUGUUUGAAGAAUGAGAGAUUUAAUCAUUCGUCUAAUAUUUGUUUCUCCUUAAUAUCCUAUCUAACUAUUAUAAUUGUAAAAAUAAGAUAUUUGAACUAUUCUUUUCUGGUUUAUCAUUUAAUAAAUCAAACAUUUCUUAGUUUAUACAUAGUUUACAUAUAUUAGAAUGACAAAUUAUUAUAUAUAUUUUUUAUCUGUAUAUUCUUAGAGGGUGUAUUGAACUAAAAUUUUUAGGAGAUUUUGAGUUUUUAACUAGAUUCACUGUUAUUCAACUAAUGAUUUUAAGAAAGAAAAUUCAAAUCAUGUGUUAUUGAUUGUGGAAUUUAUGUAAAGUCACUACAAACAGUUCCAAAUUCCCUGCUAUUCGAUCACUAAUUUAUAAAAGCUCUCAAAUCUAGUGUUAUUCAAACCUAAAUAGUAUUUUAAGCAAAAAAAUUGUAAACAGGAUUUCAGAAUAUUUUGCAUCCAUUUCUUGUUGAAAUUAAUUCAUACGAAAUCACACCUCUAUUUAGGUCUGGGAUUUUUAUCCGAGAUCCGGAUUCGAUCCGAGAUUCGAUCCGGAUCCGAUCCGAAAAUCCGGAUAUCCGGAGGGACCGAAUCUGGAUCCGGAUAAUAAAAUGCUGGAUCCGUCAAAACCGGAUCCGGAUCCGGAUAUCUUGAUUUUUUAGUCCGGAUAUCCGGAUCCAUAAGUUUUAUUAAUAACUAUUUCAAAAAUAAUAAUAUCUAUAUAUAAAAACUAACUUUAUUUAAUAUAUUUUUAUUUUUAUAAUAGCAUAUGUAAAUUUUAUGUAAAUUUUGUAAUAUUAUACAUAGAAAUAAUUAAAAACAUUAUAUAUUUUUUAUUUUUAAAUUAUUUUUAAUAUUUAAUAUAUAUUAUUAUUAUUAUUUUAUUUAUUUUAAAGAUCCAAAUUCGGAUCCGGAUAUCCGCCGGAUAUUACAAUUUUUAGAAGGAUAUCCGACACCCGGAUAUCCGAGAACUCCGGAUCCGGAUAAGGAUAAUAAAAUUAUGGAUCCGUCAGAUAAGAAUCCGGAUCUUGAUACAUUAAAAUUGUCCGGAUAUCCGAUCCGUCCCAGGCCUACCUCUAUUGGUGUUAUUUGGAGAAACUUUAAUUAAAAACCAUUACAGAAAAAGAAUUUCAGAGAUGAUCACUGAAGCCCGAGAGACCACUCCGGCGAGAGGACCGCCGCCGUCAAUCAGACGCCUAGGAGAAAACGCAGUAGAUAAAAGCUAUGGCAAUAGAACAACCCAGAUUUUGUUCGAUAACUUUCAUUCUGCACAAAAAUUUUCACUUCUUCUUAUGAUAAAAUUUCAAUCUAAUUCUUCUUCUUCUUCUCAAUUGUUUUCAUUCUGAAAAGUGUUUUAGCUCCCAGUGGUGUCACCCCUUCAAAUUGGACGUGAUCUCACUGAUUUUCUUGAGUGAAACUUGUGUAACCAGUAUUGUUGUUUGGAAACCCUUCAUGUUCAUGUGACAGACCAGCCCAUUCUUCUUAAUGCUACAGUGGGAGGUGUCACCAAGCUUGCAACCGAUGAGCUAUUGUCUCAGACAAAUCAACAGAGACAUGCAGCGUAAGGAUGAUAUAUGGGAUGGACCAAGACCACUUUACUUUAUCAGCCUUCUGAAUCUUUGAUAGAUGAGUUGUUUUCUCUAUAUAAACAUGUCUCUAGACUAUUGAUUGAUUUGGUCUUCUUCCUUUGUUAUUUCAGAACCUAAAUGUUCUUGUUUAAGAUUUGUCCAAAAAGAAAAUUUCUUGUUUGAUCA